rnacentral:rRNA from 1 species
CCUACGGGUGGCAGCAGUGAGGAAUAUUGGUCAAUGGACGAGAGUCUGAACCAGCCAAGUAGCGUGAAGGAUGACUGCCCUAUGGGUUGUAAACUUCUUUUAUAUGGGAAUAAAACGUUCCACGUGUGGGAUUUUGUAUGUACCAUAUGAAUAAGGAUCGGCUAACUCCGUGCCAGCAGCCGCGGUAAUACGGAGGAUCCGAGCGUUAUCCGGAUUUAUUGGGUUUAAAGGGAGCGUAGGUGGAUUGUUAAGUCAGUUGUGAAAGUUUGCGGCGCAACCGUAAAAUUGCAGUUGAAACUGGCAGUCUUGAGUACAGUAGAGGUGGGCGGAAUGCGUGGUGUAGCGGUGAAAUGCUUAGAUAUCACGAAGAACUCCGAUUGCGAAGGCAGUUCACUGGACUGCAACUGACACUGAGGCUCGAAAGUGUGGGUAUCAAACAGGAUUAGAUACCCUUGUAGUC